CACAGGCUGCAGUAGUAGUGCUGCUGAGGGGUCAGGCUGCAGUAGUAGUGCCACUGAGGUGCCACAGACUGCAAUUGGAGUGCCACUGAGGUGCCACAGACUGCAAUCAGGUGCCACUGAGAUGCCACA